rnacentral:rRNA from 1 species
ACGGGAGGCAGCAGUAGGGAAUAUUGCACAAUGGGGGAAACCCUGAUGCAGCGACGCCGCGUGAGCGAAGAAGUAUCUCGGUAUGUAAAGCUCUAUCAGCAGGGAAGAAGAUGACGGUACCUGACUAAGAAGCACCGGCUAAAUACGUGCCAGCAGCCGCGGUAAUACGUAUGGUGCAAGCGUUAUCCGGAUUUACUGGGUGUAAAGGGAGCGUAGACGGAAGAGCAAGUCUGGAGUGAAAGCCCGGGGCUCAACCCCGGGACUGCUUUGGAAACUGUUUAUCUAGAGUGCCGGAGAGGCAAGCGGAAUUCCUAGUGUAGCGGUGAAAUGCGUAGAUAUUAGGAGGAACACCAGUGGCGAAGGCGGCUUGCUGGACGGUAACUGACGUUGAGGCUCGAAAGCGUGGGGAGCAAACAGGAUUAGAUACCCUGGUA